CACACUAAAAAAGGAUUAGGGGCAACAUAUUUUGUGGAGAGACAACUGCUGAUAGUGUUACAUAAAUUACAGUGGUGCCCGAAAGGUUGCGAACCCUUGAGCUAUUACGCAUCUAAAUGUUGGAAUGACUCAUUAAAAGAAAAACAACAACAGUAACGAUAAUAAUUCAGGCUUCUGUAUAUAAAAAUUUAUAAACUGAUAAACUUUAAAUACAGUGAAAAUUAAAUAAAAAUACAAAAGUCAAAAUGAUGGGGUGCAUAAGUAAUGGAAAAAGUAAAUCAUCACUUUUACAGCCAGUUUUCUUCCAUCAGGGUAUGGAUAUCUGAAAAUCCUUCUAAAUUAUUCAAUAUGUCUGACUAAAUU